rnacentral:rRNA from 1 species
GGAUGCGAUCAUACCAGCACUAAAGCACCGGAUCCCAUCAGAACUCCGAAUUUAAGCGUGCUUGGGGCGAGCAGUAGUACUAGGAUAGGUGACCUCCUGGGAAGUCCUCGUGUUGCAUUCCC